CUGUAGUGAGAAACGGGAUGCCUUGAACGUCCCUCCUCGGGAACUGCCCAGACCGAGCAGCCUCAGGGAGCAUCCUGGAGUGCUGAGUGCCCGAGGAAGCGAAGACACGUCACUGACUGGGAGAGCUUUCUGGAAAAUAUGCCAUGAAUUUACACUUGUGUUUCAAAGAAGUUUAAUCCAGAUCAGCAAAAAAUGCAUGAUAAUUGGUA